rnacentral:sRNA from 1 species
AGUGCGGGAGGGAGCCUGAACCGCGCGGCCGAACCCUCCGGUGUCCCGACCCAGGCUAAGCUUGAGCAUGGCUGAGCAGGAGCCCACAGCCGAGCAGCUGGCCCAGAUUGCAGCGGAGAACGAGGAGGAUGAGCACUCGGUCAACUACAAGCCCCCGGCCCAGAAGAGCAUCCAAGAGAUCCAGGAGCUGGACAAGGACGACGAGAGCCUGCGAAAGUACAAGGAGGCUCUGCUGGGCCGCGUGGCCGUUUCCGCAGGUGAGUCUGGGCUGCGGGAGCCGGGUGGCCGCCCGUUCACUCCAGCUGUCUUGCCGCUCCCCAGCCCCUACUUCCACUGGUGGGGGUGGGGCCCUCACCUGCUGUCACUCCCCAGACCCCAACGUCCCCAACGUCGUCGUGACUGGCCUGACCCUGGUGUGCAGCUCGGCCCCGGGCCCCCUGGAGCUGGACCUGACAGGUGAGUGCCCUGCGGCCGCGGGGGUUCGGGCGGCCCCUGGUGGGGAUCUCGGGAAGUGCAGCCAGGGGGCCGUGCAGGGCUGGGGCUUCGCGCAGGGCUGGGGGCCCCGGGGCUGCUGG